rnacentral:rRNA from 1 species
UACGAAGGGUGCAAGCGUUACUCGGAAUUACUGGGCGUAAAGCGUGCGUAGGCGGUUUGUUAAGUCUGUUGUGAAAUCCCCGAGCUCAACUUGGGAAUUGCAAUGGAUACUGGCAGGCUGGAGUAUGGUAGAGGAAGGUGGAAUUCCCGGUGUAGCAGUGAAAUGCGUAGAGAUCGGGAGGAACACCAGUGGCGAAGGCGGCCUUCUGGACCAAUACUGACGCUCAUGCACGAAAGCGUGGGGAGCAAACAGG